rnacentral:misc_RNA from 1 species
CCGAGUUAUCAACUCCCAAACCCCUGUGAACAUACCUGAACGUUGCUUCGGCGGGGCCGCCCCGGCGCCCACGGCCCGGAACCAGGCGCCCGCCGGAGGACCCAAACUCUUGUCUGAUCCAUAGCGGCAUAUUCUGAGUCUCACAAGAAAAAUGAAUCAAAACUUUCAACAACGGAUCUCUUGGCUCUGGCAUCGAUGAAGAACGCAGCGAAAUGCGAUAAGUAAUGUGAAUUGCAGAAUUCAGUGAAUCAUCGAAUCUUUGAACGCACAUUGCGCCCGCCAGCAUUCUGGCGGGCAUGCCUGUUCGAGCGUCAUUUCAACCCUCAAGCCCCAGCGGGCUUGGUGUUGGGGACCGGCCCCGGCCGCCCCCGAAAUGCAGUGGCGACCUCGCCGCAGCCUCCCCUGCGCAGUAGCACAACCUCGCACCGGAGCGCGGAGACGGUCACGCCGUAAAACGCCCAACUUCUCAGAGUU